UAGCCCUGAAAAUGGAUGGCGCUGAAGCGUCGCACCCACACCCGGCCGUCGGGUCAAGUUGGUCUGUCCCCGACGAGUAGGAGGGCGCGGCGGUGGCCGUGCAGCCUUGCGCGCGAGCCGUGGCGAAGCCGCCGCCGGUGCAGAUCUUGGUGGUAGUAGCAAAUAUUCAAACGAGAGCUUUGAAGACUGAAGUGGGGAAGGGUUCCAUGUGAACAGCAGUUGGACAUGGGUUAGUCGAUCCUAAGAGGAGGGAGAGUUCCCCGUGCAAGGCGCACUCGUCAUUGGGCGACGGCGCCGUUCCUCGAAAGGGAAUCGGGUCAACAUUCCCGAACCGGGCUGCGGAUGGGCCUUCGGGCCGGCAGCGGCGACGCAAGCGAACUCGGGGACGUCUGCGAGGGCCCCGGCAAGAGUUCUCUUUUCUUGUUAACGGGCCGACACCCUGGAAUCAGGUUGGCUGGAGAUAGGGUUACGUGUCCGGUAAAGCGCCACACUUUUGGUGGCGUCCGGUGCGCCCUCGACGGCCCUUGAAAACCCGAGGGAGUGGGUGAUUGUCGCACCCGGUCGUACCGAUAACCGCAUCAGGUCUCCGAGGUGAACAGCCUCUAGUUGAUGGAACAAUGUAGGUAAGGGAAGUCGGCAAAACGGAUCCGU
rnacentral:rRNA from 1 species